rnacentral:tRNA from 2 species
GCCGCCUUAGCUCAGUCGGCCAGAGCGACGCACUCGUAAUGCGUAGGUCAGGGGUUCGACUCCCCUAGGCGGCUCCG